AAUGCUGAACAAAAUGGCGUGAACCAAAGCAUGGAACCGAGUGGUGAUCUGCCGCGGCGCCGGUGACAAGCCAUCAACUGCUUCAAAAUCGUUCCAAACACGUACGGACGUGGAAGCAUCACCGCUCGUUCUGGCCUGAUCUGGACGCAUCAUCUAUUAAUCUGACCACGUCAGAGAGUAGGUACAUGCAGCGCAACCUUUUUUUUUUUGAGAUCGAAGCGUCAGGGAAGUCAGGUGCUAAAAUGAAAAAGAGAUAGCGAUUUGGGCUUUGAUGGGUCACUCAUGACUCAUGUGAGGGUGGCCUGGCUAGACUACGCUAUGAUCGCGGUCGGACCGGCUUACAAGCUCAUAUUCGUUCCAGACCCGUAAGGCCUUCCUUUCAUCGGCAUCAUAAUCUUCGUCAAACUGGGCCGAAGUUGCAAAAGUUAAUGUAGCCAGAAUGGCAAGCCCGUUUCAACCAUUUCUCUCUCAAGGCGUCGGCAGAUAGGCCACCACCGUAGACUCAGUCUGUGCCUUCAUUGAAACUCUCCAAAACAAAAGUCUUGAUAGUUCUUGACCUCUCCAAAACAAAAGUCUUGACUCUUCAUGCUUUUUUUUUA